CCUACGGGCGGCAGCAGUGAGGAAUAUUGGUCAAUGGGCGCGAGCCUGAACCAGCCAAGUCGCGUGAGGGACGACGGUCCUAUGGAUUGUAAACCUCUUUUGUCGGGGAGCAAAAGACGCCACGUGUGGCGUUCCGAGAGUACCCGAAGAAAAAGCAUCGGCUAACUCCGCGCCAGCAGCCGCGGUAAUACGGAGGAUGCGAGCGUUAUCCGGAUUUAUUGGGUUUAAAGGGUGCGCAGGCGGAAGAUCAAGUCAGCGGGAAAAUUGAGAGGCUCAACCUCUUCGAGCCGUUGAAACUGGUUUUCUUGAGUGAGCGAGAAGUAGGCGGAAUGCGUGGUGUAGCGGUGAAAUGCAUAGAUAUCACGCAGAACUCCGAUUGCGAAGGCAGCAUACCGGCGCUCAACUGACGCUCAUGCACGAAAGUGUGGGUAUCGAACAGGAUUAGAUACCCCUGUAGUC
rnacentral:rRNA from 1 species